ensembl:lncRNA
AAAGGAAAUAUCAAAGUUACUUUGCCACAAACUCAUUGCAGCUUCUACCUCGUCAUUGGGAUGUUUUAUUAUGAUUCAGAAUGACUUUAUUUCAAUCACAACACAUUUUUGUUUGACAAAUUUUGGACAGAUUAUGGAUCAACAAGUCACUUCAACAGUUUAAAUUCCUGGAGCAAGUUUUUGGCACAACACUUAAGGAAGAAAAGGGCAGAUACAGACAUUUAUGCUGCAAUCAUUAUAGUAAGGUUAUUAUUAAUCAUUAUGUCACAGUUUGCAAAGGUGAAUCAUGCGGAGAGAAUUAGGAAUGGACCCAAAUGCAGACAAUAGAGAUGAAGAUGUUUAACUGAAAGCGAGCCUUUAUUCGUGGCUGAAUGAACACUACAAAACAACAAAAACCUAAACUGGGAACAGCUAAACAUGAAACUGGAACUAAACAACCUGACACCUGGAAACAUGGCUGGAGCGACACUGGGGAAGAUGAACAGAAUAAUGACACCGGGGAUGAUACACAGAUGCUGAACCUAAUCAGACGUGAGGAGACAGGGAGGAAGCAAAAGAGAAUACAUUGAAAGUCCGUGUCCUAUGUCAAAGUAACAGAACACAGAGUAGACAUAACACGGAACACAGAGGAGGCACAUAAACAAAACCUAAAGACCAGAAAUCAUGAAAUACUAAGGAACUAGGGAGCUAGAAAUACUGAAAACCAAGAGGCUAGCAGUGAAAAAUUAUGAUGAAAUCAAAGAUCAAUAAUAGUACACACUCACAACACUGGGUCGCAUUGAAAGUACACCCACCUCAAGGGCUGGCUCCAGACAGCCCAAACCAGAAGAGCAAAACAAAAACAACCCAACCAGGGCGGAUGGUGGGGGUCCAAAACAAAAAGUUAACAAAAAGCACUAGAGCUCAUGGAACAGUCCAAAACAGAAUAUCCACAACAAGCACUGGAACUCCAGAAACAGUUCCCACACAGUUCAGAGGGCCGGCCUGGAGGAUGAAAGCACAGGAGCCCAGGCCUAAAACGUUCAGGAGGCUGACCGUGGAGCAGUUCUGGAGGCCGAUCGCGGAGCCAGCAGCAGCAACGAGACAGUCCAGGGUGCCGGCCAUGAAGAAAGCGGCGGCGGCACCAGUGAAGCAAGUCCAGACGCCGACCAUGUGGGAAGCGGCUUUGGCAACACAGUUCAGGAGGCCACCAAUGAUGGCAAAGAUGCUCAGCCGACGGCGUGGAAAGUGGCUGGUGACAGUGUGGUGUUGGACGUGGACGAGCAGGCUGUGGACAGCUGGAUGGACUCUCCAGAGCCCCCAGCGGGAACAGACGGCUGGCACGGCUCUCCAGAGCCUCCAGCGGGAGCAGAUGCAGAGCCUGCAGGUACAGAGACCUCUGGCUGAGAUGAAGCAGGGCCAGCAGGUGCUGAAACCCCUGGCUGAACCGGUGGCUGAGCAGAUAACUGAGCUAAUAACUGAGCUAAUAACUGAGCUAGCGAGUAAGCUAGUGACAGAAGUUGAUGUUGUUGUAAUGGUGGAUUAGCAGGUGGCUGUACUAGUUCUCCUAAGCCUCCAAAAAAUGAGGGAAACGGCUGGACGGGCUCACCUAAGCCUCCAACGGAGACAGGAACGGGUGCAGGCACCUGCCGGACACUAGCCGCUCCCACUUGAGGAGUAGGUACCGGUGCAGAGUUGGGCUGUGUCCUGGCUAGCCUCGCCCUGGGAACUGGCAUGGGCGCCGGGGCAGACCGGACACCAGUCACUCCCACCUGAGGGAUAGGUAUGGGCGUAGGAGGUUGCUGGUUCAUGGCCACCCUCACCCUGGGAGCCGGAAUAGGUACUGGCAACGGCUGGGCAGCUGCUGUCCCCACCCAAGGAGCUGGUACAGAUGCAGAGACUAGCAGAGCUUCACCCGUCCUUGAAUCCGGCGCAGGGACCAACUGGGCCCUGGCCCCCCUCACCCGGGAAACUGAUACAGGAGGAGCAGAACAAAAAGAAUCCUCCAAGUCCAACUCCUCAUCCAAAAAAGAAAUCCCAAAGCUUUCUGGGGUAAGUUUAUAGUUCCUUAUGUUUGUGGGUUCUGGAGGCGCGUAAGAAAAGGAGUCACUUUUACUCACGACUGAAGGUUGCUCAGCCGGGGCAGAGCGACGGCGGCGUGAGCGCCGCUUCCUCCGGGAAGAGGAAGCCGGUGAUCCAGGCAACUUAGCCUCCAGCGCGCAGAAUGGCCCCCCAGAGAGACCCCCCAGAGCUAAACGAGUCCCUCGAAAUAUGCUUUCGUAGUCAGGGGUGAGCCAUGGUUUCCACCUGAUCUCGUCUUCCAGCUGGGCGAGAACUGCCUGCUGUCGCUCAUGCAGUUCGAAGUCUGCUGGGUCCAUUAUUAGGUCAGAGCGUACUGUCAGAGUUUGCAAAGGCAAAUUGUGUGGUGAGAAUGAGGAGUGGACCCAAACCCAGAGAAUGGAGAUGAAGAUGUUUAACUGAAAGCGAGCCUUUAUUUGUGGCUGAAUGUAACGCUACAAAACUAACAAAAACCUUAACUGGGAACCUAGAACCAUAGCUAGCAAGAAACUGGGGAAGAUGAACAGAAUGAUGAGACACAGACAGUCUGAUGAAGAACAGGUAAAUAUACACACAAGGUAAUGAGGGGAAUGCACAACAGGAGGGAGACACAGCUGAACCUAAUCAGACGUGAGGAGACAGGGAGGAAGCAAAACAGAAUACAUUGACAUAGGCAGUGUUGGGAAGGUUACUUUUAAAAUGUAUUCCAUUACAGAAUACUGAAUACAUGCCCCAA